rnacentral:rRNA from 1 species
CCGCCCGUCGCUCCUACCGAUUGAAUGAUCCGGUGAAGUGUUCGGAUCGCGGCGACGUGGGUGGUUCGCCGUCUGCGACGUCGCGAGAAGUCCACUAAACCUUAUCAUUUAGAGGAAGGAGAAGUCGUAACAAGGUUUCCGUAGGUGAACCUGCGGAAGGAUCAUUGUCGUAACCUGUUAAAAACAGAACGACCCGAGAACAAUCGAUCAUCACUCUCGGUGGGCCAGUUUCUUAAAUGAUCUUGUGCCUGCCGAUUCCGUGGUUUCGCGUACGAUUCUCAUCAAGGUAUAUAUAUAUAUCUUGGUUUGAUCAUGCGUGUAGCUUCCGGUUAUCACAAAACCCCGGCACGAAAAGUGUCAAGGAACAUGCAACUAAACAGCCAGCGUUUGCCUUCCCGGAGACGGUGUUUGCGUGAACGCUUUGCUGCAAUUUAAAGUCUAAAACGACUCUCGGCAACGGAUAUCUCGGCUCUCGCAUCGAUGAAGAACGUAGCGAAAUGCGAUACUUGGUGUGAAUUGCAGAAUCCCGUGAACCAUCGAGUCUUUGAACGCAAGUUGCGCCCCAAGCCUUUUGGCCGAGGGCACGUCUGCCUGGGUGUCACAAAUCGUCGUCCCCCAUCCUCUUAAGGAUACGGGACGGAAGCUGGUCUCCCGUGUUUUACCGAAUGCGGUUGGCCAAAAUCUGAGCUAAGGACGCCAGGAGUGUCUCGACAUGCGGUGGUGAAUUCAAGCCUCUUUAGUUUGUCGGCCGCUCUUGUCUGGAAGCUCUUGAUGACCC